rnacentral:rRNA from 1 species
UCCGGUUGCCAUAGCGAGGAGGAAACACCUGUUCCCAUUCCGAACACAGAAGUGAAGGGCCUCAGCGGCAAUGGUACUAGGGGGCAGACCCUGGGAGAGUAGCACGCAGCCGGAU